UAUUUGCUAGGUCUCGCCUCUGCCAGUAGUCUGCCGUGGCCUCGCCCACAAACUAAUCCUACGGCCCACGGAACCAGUCAGUCCUCUCUCCUUCCGGCUUCCGCUGCUCUUCUUUCUUUCCUGGCAUCUUGGAGACGGCGGCGAGACGAGGAGAGGACUGGAACUGGACCAUGGCUGCCUCUUCGGCUCUCAGGCUAAUCCUGGGCUCCUCGUCGGCGUCGCGUCGCCAGAUUCUGUCCGAGAUGGGAUACAAGUUCACGCUUAUUAGUGCGGAUAUCGAUGAGAAAGCGAUCAGAAAGGAGAACCCAGAGGAACUGGUGGUCGCCUUGGCUCAUGCGAAAGCAGACGCUAUUCUGGAGAAGAUGCAGAACAAUGGGAUGAUGAAAGAGAUUCUUGAUUCUCAAGAUACUACUCUGAUGAUAACUGCUGAUCAGGUUGUGUUGCAUGAUGGAGUGAUUAGAGAAAAACCUAGCACACCAGAAGAGGCACGGAAAUUCAUCAAAGGGUACUCUGAAAGCCAUGCUGCGACGAUUGGAUCUGUGCUUGUUACAAAUGUGAAGACUGGGGCUAGAAGGGAAGGAUGGGAUAAAGCAGAAGUAAUAUCUAAGUUUCCCUGGUGUUUUAUUUUAGGAAUGAGUACCAUUAUGCUUAGGUUUAUUUCCACAAAAUUCCUGACAAAGUUGUGGAGAGUUUGAUUGAGGAGGGCGAUGUGUUCUAUGUCGCUGGUGGUCUCCUUGUGGAGCACCCCUUAACUUCACCUCUCGUGGAAGCCAUUGUUGGUACAAUUGAUAGUGUAAUGGGGCUCCCUAAGGCGCUCACGGAGAAGCUCAUCAAGGAAUCCCUUUCAGAGACAUAGCUACAAUCAUAUGGACUGAACUGACCUGUGAUACAGAAAUCAUAUUGGUGGCGGACUGGCGGUGGCUAAAUCAGUUUGGCAGCAAUGUAGUGUGAGAAUCAUGUAAUCAUUCCUAUUUUCCAACAAAAAAGGCCGUCAUGUGAUCAGCCCACUAUGAAUGGAAUUCAUCCUUGGCUUCCAUGACCAUAGGUCUGCUGAAUCAUUCGUUUUGUUUUCUGAUGUGUUCGGCCGCAAGGAUUUUUAACGCCUGGCAGAUUGCUUGAUUUGAUCAAUGAAUUCGUGCUAGGUGCUCUGUGGUA